AGUGAACGCUGGCGGCAGGCCUAACACAUGCAAGUCGAACGGCAGCACAAGAGAGCUUGCUCUCUGGGUGGCGAGUGGCGGACGGGUGAGGAAUGCAUCGGAAUCUGCCCAUUUGUGGGGGAUAACCUCGGGAAACCGGGACUAAUACCGCAUACGACCUACGGGUGAAAGCAGGGGAUCUUCGGACCUUGCGCAGCUGGAUGAGCCGCUGCCGGAUUAGCUAGUUGGAGGGGUAAAGGCCCACCAAGGCGACGAUCCGUAGCUGGUCUGAGAGGAUGAUCAGCCACACUGGGACUGAGACACGGCCCAGACUCCUACGGGAGGCAGCAGUGGGGAAUAUUGGACAAUGGGCGCAAGCCUGAUCCAGCCAUGCCGCGUGUGUGAAGAAGGCCUUCGGGUUGUAAAGCACUUUUGUUGGGAAAGAAAAGCAGCCGGUUAAUACCCGGUUGUCAUGACGGUACCCAAAGAAUAAGCACCGGCUAACUUCGUG
rnacentral:rRNA from 1 species